AUUCCUGGUUUAAAGAAAACAAAACAAAGAAAAUAAACCGAGACUGAUCAUGACAUUUGGGAAAGACACUGGACGUAGUCUGAUUCAGCCAGCAAAGGGGGAGAGAUUGUUGGUUAAAUACCUUGGAUAAAGAAAGAAUGGUUAUUUAGCUAAUACACUGGAUUCACAGAUGAUAGGAAAACAGGCUAUGCAGUUUACAGGGUAUACCACAACACUGAAAGUGAGGAAUAUGCUUCUGAUAUAUUUAUAAGCAAAUAAUAUCCAUGAUGCUGAGACAAUGGGAGUUCUGCAGGUGCUGUGACAGUUGAUGACAACUUGAACCAAUUUCCCUGAGAAACUUGAGAGCUGCCUCUAUAAAACCUGAGCUGUGUGGGAGACUGAGAUGCAUCAGGAAUGCUCAGAAUUAGGGCUACUGGUUUCUCAUGUGGUUCCAGGGAAUUUAUUCACAGCUUUUGUAUCCCGAUAAAACAGACCUGCAACGAUCUACAGGAACAAGCUGAAAUGUACAAUCAAGACACUUUGAUCAGGGAUGACUUUUAAAAAAAACAACCCAAAGAUACCAUCACUGAAUUUCAAAUGUUAAACUUGCCUUCAUGUUUCUGAAA